UACAGAGGGUGCGAGCGUUAAUCGGAAUUACUGGGCGUAAAGCGUGCGCAGGCGGUUCGUUAUGUCUGCUGUGAAAUCCCCGGGCUCAACCUGGGAAUGGCAGUGGAAACUGGCGAGCUUGAGUGUGGCAGAGGGGGGUGGAAUUCCGCGUGUAGCAGUGAAAUGCGUAGAGAUGCGGAGGAACACCGAUGGCGAAGGCAACCCCCUGGGCUAACACUGACGCUCAGGCACGAAAGCGUGGGGAGCAAACAGG
rnacentral:rRNA from 1 species